rnacentral:rRNA from 1 species
GCUAGCUACAGGCUUAACACAUGCAAGUCGAGGGUUAGCAUGGUCUUAGCUUGCUAAGGCCGAUGGCGACCGGCGCACGGGUGAGUAACACGUAUCCAACCUGCCGUCUACUCUUGGACAGCCUUCUGAAAGGAAGAUUAAUACAAGAUGGCAUCAUGAGUCCACAUGUUCACAUGAUUAAAGGUAUUCCGGUAGACGAUGGGGAUGCGUUCCAUUAGAUAGUAGGCGGGGUAACGGCCCACCUAGUCUUCGAUGGAUAGGGGUUCUGAGAGGAAGGUCCCCCACAUUGGAACUGAGACACGGUCCAAACUCCUACGGGAGGCAGCAGUGAGGAAUAUUGGUCAAUGGGCGAGAGCCUGAACCAGCCAAGUAGCGUGAAGGAUGACUGCCCUAUGGGUUGUAAACUUCUUUUAUAAAGGAAUAAAGUCGGGUAUGCAUACCCGUUUGCAUGUACUUUAUGAAUAAGGAUCGGCUAACUCCGUGCCAGCAGCCGCGGUAAUACGGAGGAUCCGAGCGUUAUCCGGAUUUAUUGGGUUUAAAGGGAGCGUAGAUGGAUGUUUAAGUCAGUUGUGAAAGUUUGCGGCUCAACCGUAAAAUUGCAGUUGAUACUGGAUAUCUUGAGUGCAGUUGAGGCAGGCGGAAUUCGUGGUGUAGCGGUGAAAUGCUUAGAUAUCACGAAGAACUCCGAUUGCGAAGGCAGCCUGCUAAGCUGCAACUGACAUUGAGGCUCGAAAGUGUGGGUAUCAAACAGGAUUAGAUACCCUGGUAGUCCACACGGUAAACGAUGAAUACUCGCUGUUUGCGAUAUACAGCAAGCGGCCAAGCGAAAGCGUUAAGUAUUCCACCUGGGGAGUACGCCGGCAACGGUGAAACUCAAAGGAAUUGACGGGGGCCCGCACAAGCGGAGGAACAUGUGGUUUAAUUCGAUGAUACGCGAGGAACCUUACCCGGGCUUAAAUUGCAGAUGAAUUACGGUGAAAGCCGUAAGCCGCAAGGCAUCUGUGAAGGUGCUGCAUGGUUGUCGUCAGCUCGUGCCGUGAGGUGUCGGCUUAAGUGCCAUAACGAGCGCAACCCUUGUUGUCAGUUACUAACAGGUCAUGCUGAGGACUCUGACAAGACUGCCAUCGUAAGAUGUGAGGAAGGUGGGGAUGACGUCAAAUCAGCACGGCCCUUACGUCCGGGGCUACACACGUGUUACAAUGGGGGGUACAGAGGGCCGCUACCACGCGAGUGGAUGCCAAUCCCAAAAACCUCUCUCAGUUCGGACUGGAGUCUGCAACCCGACUCCACGAAGCUGGAUUCGCUAGUAAUCGCGCAUCAGCCACGGCGCGGUGAAUACGUUCCCGGGCCUUGUACACACCGCCCGUCAAGCCAUGGGAGCCGGGGGUACCUGAAGUGCGUAACCGCGAGGAGCGCCCUAGGGUAAAACUGGUU